rnacentral:sRNA from 1 species
AAGUUCCUGUUUACGAGCUUCCUCCUUCCUAGCCUCUGACCUUGCAUUUCUUUGCACCUCAAAAAUUAAAGCAGCAACAGCAACCUAAAACCAAAAAGAUGCAGCAAAUAUAUUCCUGUGGCUACUAUAAAUCUAUUGGCAUACAAGGUUCAUUGUAGGUUAAGUGAAGUACCGAAAAAAUAAAGCCUUCUCCAAUGAGAUCCGUAGCAGCUUGUACAGCUUUCUCCUCAUUUAAAGGUGUGAUUUCCACAUCUGUUGCAUGCCCAUAAAUGCGCCUUUGUAUCCUUGUAGUAACACGAUGGUUAAUCUGUAACAAUUGUUAUAGUUACAAUCGGUUAGUUAUAUGUCAGACCUCAUAAGGGCACAAAGGAUACGGCCACAGCCCACAACACGUAAAUACAUUUGAGAGGGCUCUAUCUUAGAAAAAGCCAGAUGUACAAAUUUCCAAAAGCAUAAAUCCUAAGGACAAGGAUAAAUCUCCUCAAGCCCUAACCAGAUCCCCUUCCCACGAGCCUAACGGAUGCUGCUCCGAUCAUUUUCCCUUAUCAAAAUUUCCUUCCCUUAGGCGCUACUUUCUCCGAAGAACACAACACGAUGAGGGGGAGUAGGAGGAGGAGGAGGAGGCCCCGACCUGCGCGAUGCAGAUGAUGAAGUUGCGGAACUUGGGGUGGACGGCGGCCUGGUUCUUGAGGCGGCUGGCGAUGGGCUUGGACAGCGUCCGCAGCGCCAGCGUCCCCAGCUUCGCCACCGGCAGCGACAUUGGCGGCGG